AUUGAACGCUGGCGGCAGGCCUAACACAUGCAAGUCGAACGCGUGGCGGACGGGUGAGAAAUGUCUGGGACACUGCCUGAUGGCGGGGGAUACCUACUGGAAACGGUAGCUAUUACCGCAUACCAUCAGAUGUGCCCAGCUGGGAUUAGCUAGUAGGUGGGGUAAUGGCUCACCGAGGCGACGAUCACUAGCUGGUCUGAGAGGAUGACCAGCCACACUGGAACUUGGACACGGUCCAGACUCCUACGGGAGGCAGCAGUGGGGAAUAGUGCACAAUGGGCGCAAGCCUGAUGCAGCCAUGCCGCGUGUGUGAAGAAGGCCUUCGGGUUGUAAAGCGCUUUCAGCGGGGAAGCGUUACUCGCAGAAAAAGCACCGGCUAACUCCGUGCCAGCCGCCGCGGUAAUAC
rnacentral:rRNA from 1 species